rnacentral:misc_RNA from 1 species
UUCAUUACCCUUCUUCACAAUUUCUCCGUAGGUGAACCCGCGGAUGGAUCAUUACAGAGUUCAUGCCCUACCGGGUAGAUCUCCCACCCUAUGUUAUUAUUACUUUGUUGAUUUGGCGGGCCGUUAGGCUCCGGCCCGACUACCGGCCACGGCAGGUAAGCACCCGCCAGAGGACCCAAAACCCUGAAUAUUAGUGUCGUCUGAGUACUAUAUAAUAGUUAAAACUUUCAACAACGGAUCUCUUGGUUCUG